AGCUAAUACUUGCUUUAGCACUCUUGAUUAAUUUCUUGAGUGUGUACUUGUUAAGCCUUUUAAGAAAAAAGUUAUUAACUUAAGGAAUUAUAACAAAGAAGUAACACGUAAUGGAUCCGUCCAUUUUUAGUGUGUAUCAAUCGAGUUUCUGACCUAUCAGCUUUUGAUGUUAGGGUAUUGGCCUAACAUGGCUAUGACGGGUAACGGGGAAUUAGAGUUCGAUUCCGGAGAGGGAGCCUGAGAAAUAGCUACCACAUCUAAGGAAGGCAGCAGGCGCGUAAAUUACCCAAUUCUAAAGAAGAGAGGUAGUGACAAGAAAUAACAAUACAAGGCCAAUCUGGCUUUGUAAUUGGAAUGAUGGGAAUUUAAAACCUUCCCAAAACUCAAUUGGAGGGCAAGUCUGGUGCCAGCAGCCGCGGUAAUUCCAGCUCCAAUAGCGUAUAUUAAAAUUGUUGCAGUUAAAACGCUCGUAGUUGAAUUUCAAAGAAUCGAUAUUUUAAGUAACGCUUUUAGCUUAAUCCACAUAACUGAUACUACGUAUCGACUUUGUGCGCAUUUUGCUAUUAUGUGUUCUUUUAAUUAAAAUGAUUCUUUUUAAGGUCUUUCUCUUGCUUCGGCAUUUGAAGAUCUUGUUACUUUGAGUAAAUUAGAGUGUUCAAAGCAAACAGAUAUAGCAUUGCGCGUUUGAAUACUACAGCAUGGAAUAACAAAAUUGAACAAGUCAGAAUUUUGUUCUUUUUUCUUAUUUUGGCUUAGUUACGAUUAAUAGGAGUAGCUUGGGGGCAUUUGUAUUCAGAUGUCAGAGGUGAAAUUCUUAGAUUUUCUGGAGACAAACAACUGCGAAAGCAUUUGCCUAAAAUACUUCCAUUAAUCAAGAACGAAAGUUAAGGGAGUGAAGACGAUCAGAUACCGUCGUAAUCUUAACCAUAAACUAUGCCGACUAGGCUUUGGAUGAAAGAUUUUAAAAUAAGAGUUUUUCUCUUCGGAGUUAAACUCUUAGAUUGCUUCCUUCAGUGCCUUAUGAGAAAUCAAAGUCUUUGGGUUCUGGGGCGAGUAUUCGCGCAAGCGAGAAAGUUAAAAGAAUUGACGGAAGGGCACCACCAGGCGUGGAGCUUGCGGCUUAAUUUGACUCAACACGGGAAAACUCACUAGUUUAAGACAAGAGUAGGAUUGACAGAUUAAUAGCUCUUUCUUGAUUUCUUGGAUGGUGAUGCAUGGCCGUUUUUAGUUCGUGAAUAUGAUUUGUCUGGUUAAUUCCGAUAACGAACGAGAUCUUAACCUGCUAAUUAGCGGCAAAUACGAUAUAUUCUUAUGUGGGAUUGAAUACGGUUGAUUUGCUUAUUUUGAAGAAAAUAUUGGGAUGCGUAAAGUGUCCCUUUCCCUUUUCUACUUAAUUCGCUUAUCAUACUGUUUCUUUUUUGCGUAAGAAUGUAUUUGCUUGAUUGUAAAGCUUCUUAGGGGAACGAUGUGUGUCUAACACAAG
rnacentral:rRNA from 1 species